UCUCUCUCUCUCCAACCAGAGCGGGAAAACAACACCUCCAACCCCCCCCCCCCCAUCUCUCUCUCUCUACUUUCUCUCUCUAACCCUCUCUCAUCUGCGCAUCAAGCCAUCCAAAUGUUUCCUCCAUUGACGAACCUCUCUCGUCAUGUCUCCUCUUCUCCCUCCCUCUCUCUUUCGCUUUCAGUUUCCACGUGACGCGCUCUACUUUCGUCUUCCUUCCUUGUCCAUCUUUGCCUAGCAGCUAGCUC
rnacentral:lncRNA from 1 species